rnacentral:lncRNA from 1 species
GUACUCUAGGUCCUAGCCCUCAACAAUAAAAUUCUUAUAAUUACGAUAAUUUAACAAAAUAGACCGAGUCCAAUUCCUUGGCUCAUCGAUCUCGUUUAUCUAAUAUAGCACCCUAAUUCCUUNNNNNNNACUAGAACACGUAGUUACAUGGUUCAGAUAGUUCCAAAGAGAUUCAUCAAUAAUUCCUAAUCAUAUGAAAUUAGCUACUCAUAAUUGAAUUAAUAAGCAACAUAAUAAAAAUAAGAAACAAGACCAUAGGGCAGAAGCUAUGUGGCUGCUUGUUGAUAACGCGCCGCUCUGUUCCUUCCUUCUAGUGAUGUGUGAUUCUCCUAUUUUCUCCCAAGUCUGCGUU